AUCAGCAAAGAAUCAAACUAGCGUGAGCUAAUUACCGAGGACUCAAAUAAUCAAUCUGAAUAAGCCACGGGCUUACAAAUAGGAUGAAAGUGUGACUUAUCAACUGUCAACCGUGGUAUAUUUGACCACGGUGGUAUUGACGAGUAACAGAGAAUUUGGGUUCGAUUCUGGAGAGGGAGCUUUAAAGAUAGCUACCACAUCUAAGGAAGGCAGCAGGCACGCAAAUUACCCAAUUGUCGAUGACAGAGGUAGUAAUAAUAAAUAACAAUACAGGACUCGUCCGAGGCCUUGUAAUUGGAAUGUUUUUAAGAUAAAGACAUGAAGGAGGAACUAUUAGAGGGCAAGUCUGGUGCCAGCAGCCGCGGUAAUUCCAGCUCUAAUAGCGUAUUUUAAUGUUGUUGCGGUUGAAAAGCUCGUAGUUGGAUAUCAUUGAUUGUAUAAGUUCAAUGUGAAUUGUUCUUAUACAGGAGAGGGAAGUCAAGCGGUGAAAAUAAACUUGAAUGUUUAUAUCCACAUAACGCCUGGCUUAAGUUACUUUGAAUAAAUCAAAGUGCUCAAUACAAGCUUUUGCUUGAAUAUAUGUGCAUGGGAUAACGCAAGAAGAUCAAUAUCGAAUCUGUUGGUUGAAUCGAUAUGGGUAAUGAUUAAUAGAGAUUGACGGGGGCAUUUGUAUUUGAAAGCGAGAGGUGAAAUUCUGGGACCUUUCAAAGACAUGCUAAAGCGAAAGCACUUGCCAAGAAUGUUUUCACUAAUCAAGAACGAAAGUUAGAGGCUCGAAGGCGAUUAGAUACCGCCCUAGUUCUAACCAUAAACAAUGCCAACUAACAAUCUUGUGUAGUUUAAGUUGAAACUAACAAGGAAGUUUUCGGAAAACCAAAGUUUUUGGGUUCCGGGGGUAGUAUGGUUGCAAAGCUGAAACUUAAAGUAAUUGACGGAGUGGCACCACCAGGAGUGGAGCCUGUGGCUUAAUUUGACUCAACACGGGGAAGCUCACCAGGGCAAGACACUAUUAGGAUUGACAGAUUGAUAGCUCUUUCUCGAUAAAGUGGGUGGUGGUGCAUGGCCGUUCUUAGUUGGUGGAGUUAUUUGUCUGGUUAAUUCCGAUAACGAACGAGACUCUGACCAAUUACUAGUGAAAUCUUUUGAAAAGAAAGUUACCGCAGUAAUGCAGUUUCAUUCGAGAUUUUACUUCUUAAGGGGACACGCUAUUGUGAAUAGCACGAGGAAGAGCAAUAACAGGUCUGUGAUGCCCUUAGAUGUUCUGGGCUGCACACGCGCUACAAUAAAUUAAUCAACAAGUUCUCCGUUUUGACAGAUGCGGGCAAACUUUUGAAAUUAAUUUAUGGUAGGAAUGGGAACUUGCAAUUAUUUUCCCUGAACUAGGAAUUCCU
rnacentral:rRNA from 1 species